GAUCUGGCUCAGGAUGAACGCUAGCUACAGGCUUAACACAUGCAAGUCGAGGGGAAACGACAUCGAAAGCUUGCUUCCGAUGGGCGUCGACCGGCGCACGGGUGAGUAACGCGUAUCCAACCUGCCCACCACUUGGGGAUAACCUUGCGAAGGUAAGACUAAUACCCAAUGAUAUCUCUAGAAGACAUCUGAAAGAGAUUAAAGAUUUAUCGGUGAUGGAUGGGGAUGCGUCUGAUUAG
rnacentral:rRNA from 1 species